AUUGAACGCUGGCGGCAGGCCUAACACAUGCAAGUCGAGCGGAGCGGCGGACGGGGGAGUAAUGCCUAGGAAUCUGCAUGGUAGUGGGGGAUAACGUCCGGAAACGGGCGCUAAUACCGCAUACUAUCAGAUGAGCCUAGGUCGGAUUAUGUAGUGGGUGGGGUAACGGCCUACCAAGGCGACGAUCCGUACCUCGUCGGAGAGGAUGAUGAGUCACACUGGAACUGAGACACGGUCCAGACUCCUACGGGAGUCAGCAGUGGGGAAUAUUGGACAAUGGGCGAAAGCCUGAUCCAGCCAUGCCGCGUGUGUGAAGAAGGUCUUCGGAUUGUAAAGCACUUUAAGUUGGGAGGCGUUACCAACAGAAUAAGCACCGGCUAACUCCGUGCCAGCAGCCGCGGUAAUUC
rnacentral:rRNA from 1 species